CAUUAGAUGGCUGAAAGUAAGUAAUGGUCUCUUAAACCAUCAAAUAGUAUCUAACGAUUACUUCUAAUGA
rnacentral:tRNA from 1 species